UAAACAUGACAGUUCGUGAGAAAGGAAAUAAAAGGGAUAAUGAAUGGCAUUGCGCGAUUUACAGAUCAACUUUUGAUCAACAACUGAGGAACAUCUGGCAUAUUGCUAUGUCCUUAAACAAAAAAGGAUUUCUCAAGGCAUGCCUACAUACCACAUGUUGGAAGAGUUUGUGGAAUGGCUGAAGGAUGAAAGAAUUUCCAGAAAAAUAAAAUUCUUUAUGAAUUUGUGAAUGGAAAUGAAACCCAAGGAACUAAUUUAUUUGCUUACCAUCCAGUUGAAAGUAUGCUAAUGGAAUAAAGUGCAACUGUCACAGAAGUGCACAAAAUAAGGUCAUGCUUUCUGCAAAAGUUCACCAAGCUAGAUAGAUAGAUAUUCUUUAUUUCCUCCAUGUAGAAGAGCAUACAAUAUUUACACACAAUGCAAAAGUAAUAUAUACACAAGUUAAACAUUUACAGCCAGUUAUAAACACAUAAUAACAGUAUUCUUUAUAUACAUAAUAUACAGUCGAAACUCGGUAUCUCAAACUCGCUUACCUCCAAAUUCCGUUUAAGUCGAAGAAAUUUCCAAGUCCCGUCAAAUUUCCUUCUUUAUAUAUGUAAUUCAACUCCGGAUACGUCAAAAUUUGACUUACUGAGACUCCGGAUGUGUCGAAAUGGAUUUUCAGUCCCGUCAGUAAAAUUCAAGUGUAUUGUAAACUCGGUAUGUCGAAGUGAGAAAAGUAUGCGAUAAAAUUUCACACAUGUCAUUGUGAAUGUGUUUGGUUUUUAACACAUGUACAUGUUUAUUGCCUGACCAGAAAGCCGUGAUGCCGACAUAUAAAAGGUGCGGCGAAUAUCAAUGUGAGAUGAGGUCAUACCUGUUUGCACGUGCCAUAAUGAUAAUUGUUUGAUAUAAACAUUAGAUUUCUUGAAUCAGUUGUCAUUUGUUUUUGAAAGUUAUGAAAAUUGCUUUAAAUUUAAACUAAUGAAUUAAUUAGUUUGAACAGUUUGGAUCUUUAAUAAGGAUUAAUUAGAGGUAAUCGCGAUGAAACUUUAUAAAAAAUAACUUCUUUUGAGAAAGCAUCAUUUGUUCAAAAUGUCAGAUCAAAAUGCUAUCAAUCCUCCGGGAGAGCAAUGUGGUACAAAAAGGAAACUUGACUCAAAAACAUUUCAGGUUAGUAUCAUUUUUAUUCUUCGAAAACCUGAGAACUUUGAUAAACACACACUGUAAGGAAUCGUGUACGCGUAAAGUAAGGACAGCGUAUACACGGCUACAACUUUGUUUCAUCAUUUCGUCUUUACAAGUCGCUCUUCAUAACUCGAAUUUCGGUUACCUCGAAAUAAAAAGCAUGGUCCCUUGAAAUUCGAGAUACCGAGUUUCGACUGUAUACAGUUUCAAAUGUGCAAUUAUAUAGGAAGUGAUAUAACAACAAUAAACAACAUGUAAACCUUCCAUUCGACUCUGCACAUAAAGUGUCAAUUUGCCUUUUCAGAUGUUUAUCACAUUAUAACUCUACGAAGCGGAAGUGACAAAUAAUAGGUUGACUUAGCAACAGUUUUAAAAAGGGAUACUCUUUUUUCAUCUUCAAUUUUAAGGGUUGGAAACCCCGACAAUAGCUCAAUAAGUUGCUCUUUGUAGUUUAAUGAACAGAAAGAGAAGUAUUUUUCUCUACCUAGUAAUGUAUGUAUUCUUUUCCACAUCUGAUGUCUGUAAGUGUCUUUAAAAGGGCAAAAUAACAUCACAUGGUGUACAACUGAUCGUGACAGACAUUGACAUUGUGGGCAUAUUCUGAUGCAAUCCUUAGCAAAUAUCUGACUUAAUACAAACACCACCGUCCGACAGUACGGUAAAUACUCGCGGUACAGUUGGCUAAACCGCCAGGCAUUACAUGGUGCAAUUUCAGACUGAAUGCUUAAGAAUUGAAAUAAUGUGACGUCGUUCGUUAGCCUGGUUAUGUAUUCGUAAUUUGCUUGGUUAAUAAUGGUUCUCUUAACAGUUCUUUUCCACUCGGUAUUUGAUGGAAACACUUCAUGAUAAAAAUAAUUUUGAAAGAAACAUACCAAGUUGUAUUUUCCGAAUAUUCUGUAGACAUCUGGUAUAAAUCCUAAUGUUUUACUUGGGUGCUCCAUAAAGCAUCUCAAACGCAUGUCAAACAUAUGUUUCACUCGCUUUUCUCCGUCUAGGUUGCACAACUGACCAAAAAAGAGCAGUUUUCUUUUGUCGAUUUCAUGUUCAAUAGAAAAGAUACCGAUGAAACUUAAGGAGAUAUCUGUUCUGGUAAGUCGCGGUAAAGACUGCAUAGACUUAACACACUGUCUGUGAACAAUUUCAAGGGA